UUUAAUAUGUCAGAUUUCCUGCAAAAGACUAGUCUUCAUCCCAACAACUCAUUGAUCCAGCUACGUGGCUUGAUAAACAAUGGCAAUUGGUGCUACAUCAAUGCUACUUUGCAGUCAUUACUUGGUUGCCAAGCUUUUUAUCAUUUAUUUAAAUCUAUGGCUGGAAUCAAGCAGAAAAAUGAAAAACUAUCAUCAACACCACUCACCGAUACCAUGAUUCAGUUUGCAAAUGAAUUCUCCUUUUUGGACAAUAGAGUUUUCCAGCAUAAAGGCAAAAAGACUGACGAUUUAAGACUUGGCACAUCUUUUGAACCAAAAAAGGUUUAUGAAAUCUUGUCUGUGCUGAAGUCUACUUUAUCUGAAACGGGAAAACAACAA